rnacentral:rRNA from 1 species
AGGGAAAAGCCGGCUUGACUGCGAGGCGGACAUGCCGAGCAGGUGCGAAAGCAGAACUUAGUGAACCGAUGGUACUUGCUAGAACAAGGCCAAAGAUCAUCAGACAAAAGCUACCCCGGGGAUAACAGGCUAGUCGCUUCCAAGAGUCCAUAUCGACGAAGCGGUUCGGCACCUCGAUGUCGGCUCGGCUUAUCCUGGAGGGGGAGCACCUUCCAAGGGUUUGGCUGUUCGCCAAUUAAAAAGUCACGCGAGCUGGGUUCAGACCGUUAAGGAACGGAGUUAAAUCAAUUCAGUUUUUUAACUGUCUGAACCCGAGGGAAAGACAUCAACAACGGCGGCGCAAGAUAGAAAUAUUUUGCGAGAAGUUAACUUAUAUCGGUGAAAUCCGAACACUCUUAUACUCUAGAGUAUCAUAGUGAGGACAACACCGAGGGAAAUCUUAACGAGAUACCCGUAGAGACUGAAUGUUAACCAUCCUGAGCUUGUCGAAGGAUGAAGAUACAGUCCAUACCGUUAGUAAUAACGGAUGUUUAGAACUAGUGGCUAGGGACUAGUCGCUAGGAACUAGAUUAUGCGUGAGACAGGUCGGUCUCCUAUCUUCUGUGGGCGUAGAAACUUGAGUGGGCUCGAUCCUAGUACGAGAGGACCGGAUUGAACGAACCUCUGGUGUACCAGCUGUUCCGCCAGGAGCAUCGCUGGGUAGCUAUGUUCGGUUGUGAUAACCGCUGAAAGCAUCUAAGCGGGAAGCACGCCACAAGAUAAGGUUUCAUAGAUCCCUGAGAGAUUAUCAGGUUGAUAGGGCACAGGUGUACAUGGAGUAAUCCAUUCAGCCGAGUGCUACUAAUAGAUCAUCACCACUUUUUAUU